UUGUUUCGGCAACAUAUAUAUAAAAAUUGCAAGGAUACAGAGAAGAUUAAUGUGGCCUCUGCACAAGGAUGACAUGCACAUUUGUGAAGCGUUCUGUAUACAA